UACGUAGGAGGCAAGCGUUGUCCGGAAUUACUGGGCGUAAAGCGCGUGUAGGCGGUCUGAAUAGUCUGCUGUGAAAACCCGCAGCUCAACUGUGGGCUUGCAGCUGAUACGGGCGGGCUGGGAUUCGGUAGGGGAGACUGGAAUUCCUGGUGUAGCGGUGAAAUGCGCAGAUAUCAGGAAGAACACCCGUGGCGAAGGCGGUUCUCUGGGACGGUACUGACGCUGAGACGCGAAAGCGUGGGGAGCGAACAGG
rnacentral:rRNA from 1 species